GCGGGAUUAGUUUAGUGGUAGGACGACUGCUUCCCAAGCAGUAAGCGCGAGUUCGAUUCUCGCAUCCCGCACCA
rnacentral:tRNA from 2 species